rnacentral:rRNA from 1 species
UAGCGGCGAGUGAAGCGGCAAAAGCUCAAAUUUGAAAUCUGGCACUUUCAGUGUCCGAGUUGUAAUUUGAAGAAGGUAUCUUUGGGUCUGGCUCUUGUCUAUGUUUCUUGGAACAGAACGUCACAGAGGGUGAGAAUCCCGUGCGAUGAGAUGACCCAGACCUAUGUAAAGUUCCUUCGAAGAGUCGAGUUGUUUGGGAAUGCAGCUCUAAGUGGGUGGUAAAUUCCAUCUAAAGCUAAAUAUUGGCGAGAGACCGAUAGCGAACAAGUACAGUGAUGGAAAGAUGAAAAGAACUUUGAAAAGAGAGUGAAAAAGUACGUGAAAUUGUUGAAAGGGAAGGGCUUGAGAUCAGACUUGGUAUUUUGUAUGUUACUCUUUCGGGGGUGGCCUCUACAGUUUACCGGGCCAGCAUCAGUUUGGGCGGUAGGAGAAUUGCAAAGAAAUGUGGCACUGCUUCGGUAGUGUGUUAUAGUCUUUGUCGAUACUGCCAGCCUAGACUGAGGACUGCGGCUUCGG